CUUUUUUUCCCUUUUCCCCCGAAGAAAAGUUUUCAGCUAUGUUUGUUGGGGGAGGUUAACAUCUUUUUUUUCUCUUUGUCUGUAUGCCUUGUGAGGAACAAUUGCAGAAUAUGCGAUGUUCCUGCUGUUCCUGGGCACUUUGGUUGUUGCACGCAUACAGGUGUGUGAAAAGCUAUCCAUAACUAAGGAAGGAAAGGAAGGAAAAGAAGGAUGAAAAGGAAGGAAGGAAAGAAAGAAGGAAGGAAGGAAGGAAUGAAGGAAGGAAGGAAGGAAAGAAAGAAAGAAAGAAAGAAGGAAGGAAAGGUUAUGACAGGAAAAUAUCUUUUUUCGGGGUUUUUGUUGUUGUUGUUUCCUGCUUUGCUUAGCAGGCAAGCUGUGUGUGGCUGUGUCUUAUCGGUUCAUGGACAGUACAAACACAUAAAUCCUUUCGACAAAAGUAAGAGGGAGAUUAAUUCUGCAUUGAAAUGGGUAAUACUUUAAUGAGCAGAAGAUGGCCUUUUUUUCCCACCAGGACCCAUCUCACAGACACACCAAAUGCCCCAUGCUCACAGCUCCCAGUCCACUCUUUGCUUUUGCUUUCACACGAUUAAACAAUUACUGAUUCCAUAGUUAUAAAAUGCUUCUGUAUGCCAAUACCCUCUGCUUUAGCCUUCGUUCAGCAGAAGCAUAAAGAUAGAUGACAAAUGAUUUGACAUCAAACUGUUUUGACUGCAGUAUUUAGGGGGGGAAAAAAUGGUAUAUAGGCACUGCAAGGGUCUGCAGCUGCCUCUGACAAGCUGCUGUAGCAGCUUCUGGAUCUCCAGCUUCACAGCGCUAAUCGGUAUUUAACAGACACUUUACAGCAUGUACUUGCUUGAUAGUUGCUUAGAUUUUCAGUGUAUUGGAUAUACUGUGCCGCGGUUGCUACGUUGAUUGAUCACGUCCCUAAAAAUAAUUAAACCAAGCACAGCUCCAGGCAUUGUCUCAGGGAGAAGUGAUAAAUCUGUAGAUUUUCUUUUCGUACUGAUUUCCUUUAAAAAUAUACAUAGUGUUUCUGUCAUUAUUCAGCAAUACUUACUGUCUUAAAUAGAUACAAAUGACUCCGGGGAAGAAGCUCAUCUGCAUUACUCAUAAAUUUGAGUAGAGCUUCAGAAAUAGAAGUAGCAGAUCCCAGUCCUGCUCUCUGUGAGGUUAAAACUCCACUGACUUUUACACCGGCGGUUACAGAAAUAAGAAUAAUACAGAAAUAAGAUAAGUUUUCCCUUACCUUAAAAAAAAAAAAGAGAGAGAGAGAGAGGGAGAGAGAGGUUAAGUGAAGAACUUUCUGAAGACAUGGGUGCAGACUGCAAAUAAUUUCAAUUGCAAAUUGCAUUUUUUUUUUUUGUCUUUGUUUUAUAAAAGCAUUAAUUUUUAAAUUGUGUAAUUCCAUUCAGUACAAUUUGG
ensembl:lncRNA